CUUUCCGGGCUUUUACCAUGUCUCCCGAACAAUUUCAGUACAUAUGGCGCAAGACGAUUCCACAUAUCGAGGUCGGAAUGGGAUCGGGUGUUUUUCACGUCUCACCUUGGUGCCAGGUUUAAGAUCGAUAAGAUAAG